rnacentral:rRNA from 1 species
AUUGAACGCUGGUGGCAUGCCUUACACAUGCAAGCCGAGCGGCAGCGCGGGGGCAACCCUGGCGGCGAGCGGCGAACGGGUGAGUAAUGCAUCGGAACGUGUCCUCUUGUGGGGGAUAACCAGUCGAAAGACUGGCUAAUACCGCAUGAGCACGAGAGUGGAAAGCGGGGGACCGCAAGGCCUCGCGCGAGAGGAGCGGCCGAUGCCGGAUUAGCUAGUUGGCGGGGUAACGGCCCACCAAGGCGACGAUCCGUAGCUGGUUUGAGAGAACGACCAGCCACACUGGGACUGAGACACGGCCCAGACUCCUACGGGAGGCAGCAGUGGGGAAUUUUGGACAAUGGGGGCAACCCUGAUCCAGCCAUGCCGCGUGUGUGAAGAAGGCCUUCGGGUUGUAAAGCACUUUCGGCCGGAACGAAAUCGCGCGGGUGAACAUCCCGCGUGGAUGACGGUACCGGAAGAAGAAGCACCGGCUAACUACGUGCCAGCAGCCGCGGUAACAC